UACGGAGGUGGCAAGCGUUGCUCGGAAUCACUGGGCGUAAAGGGCGCGUAGGCGGUCUUUUAAGUCUUGUGUGAAAUCCCUCGGCUUAACUGAGGAACUGCACGGGAUACUGGAUGACUUGAGUUCGGGAGAGGGAAGCGGAAUUCCGGGUGUAGCGGUGAAAUGCGUAGAUAUCCGGAGGAACACCGGUGGCGAAGGCGGCUUCCUGGACCGACACUGACGCUGAGGCGCGAAAGCUAGGGGAGCAAACGGG
rnacentral:rRNA from 1 species